GAUGAACGCUGGCGGCGUGCCUAAUGCAUGCAAGUCGAGCGAACAGACGAGGAGCUUGCUCCUCUGACGUUAGCGGCGGACGGGCGAGUAACACGUGGAUAACCUACCUAUAAGACUGGGAUAACUUCGGGAAACCGGAGCUAAUACCGGAUAAUAUAUUGAACCGCAUGGUUCAAUAGUGAAAGACGGUUUUGCUGUCACUUAUAGAUGGAUCCGCGCCGCAUUAGCUAGUUGGUAAGGUAACGGCUUACCAAGGCAACGAUGCGUAGCCGACCUGAGAGGGUGAUCGGCCACACUGGAACUGAGACACGGUCCAGACUCCUACGGGAGGCAGCAGUAGGGAAUCUUCCGCAAUGGGCGAAAGCCUGACGGAGCAACGCCGCGUGAGUGAUGAAGGUCUUCGGAUCGUAAAACUCUGUUAUUAGGGAAGAACAAAUGUGUAAGUAACUAUGCACGUCUUGACGGUACCUAAUCAGAAAGCCACGGCUAACUACGUG
rnacentral:rRNA from 1 species